AUGGAUGUUAAGACUGCUUUCCUGAAUGGAGAGUUGGAUGAGGAAAUUUAUAUGGAACAACCAGAUGGGUUUGUAAUAGAUGGUCAGGAAGGGAAAGUGUGCAAAUUGCUGAAGUCUUUGUACGGACUCAAGCAAGCACCCAAACAGUGGCAUGAGAAGUUCGAAAGAACUUUAACAGCUGCAGGCUUUGUUGUGAACGAAGCUGACAAAUGUGUGUACUAUCGCCAUGGUGGGGGCGAGGGAGUUAUGCUUUGCUUGUAUGUUGAUGACAUACUGAUUUUUGGAACAAAUCUGAAUGUUAUUAAGGAGGUCAAGGAU
rnacentral:rRNA from 1 species